UGAGUUUGAUCCUGGCUCAGGACGAACGCUGGCGGCGUGCUUAACACAUGCAAGUCGAGCGGUAAGGCCCUUCGGGGUACACGAGCGGCGAACGGGUGAGUAACACGUGAGUAAUCUGCCCUUCACUCUGGGAUAACCGCUGGAAACGGUGGCUAAUACCGGAUAUGACCUCCUUCCGCAUGGUGGGUGGUGGAAAGUUUUUCGGUGGAGGAUGAGCUCGCGGCCUAUCAGCUUGUUGGUGGGGUGAUGGCCUACCAAGGCGACGACGGGUAGCCGGCCUGAGAGGGUGACCGGCCACACUGGGACUGAGACACGGCCCAGACUCCUACGGGAGGCAGCAGUGGGGAAUAUUGGACAAUGGGCGAAAGCCUGAUCCAGCAACGCCGCGUGAGGGAUGACGGCCUUCGGGUUGUAAACCUCUUUCAGUAGGGACGAAGCGAAAGUGACGGUACCUACAGAAGAAAGGACCGGCCAACUACGUGCCAGCAGCCGCGGUAAUACGUAGGGUCCGAGCGUUGUCCGGAAUUAUUGGGCGUAAAGGGCUCGUAGGCGGUUUGUCGCGUCGGGAGUGAAAACUUGGGGCUUAACCCCAUUCGUGCUUCCGAUACGGGCAGACUAGAGGCAGGCAGGGGAGAACGGAAUUCCUGGUGUAGCGGUGGAAUGCGCAGAUAUCAGGAGGAACACCGGUGGCGAAGGCGGUUCUCUGGGCCUGUUCUGACGCUGAGGAGCGAAAGCAUGGGGAGCGAACAGGAUUAGAUACCCUGGUAGUCCAUGCCGUAAACGUUGGGCGCUAGGUGUGGGAUCCAUUCCACGGGUUCCGUGCCGCAGCUAACGCAUUAAGCGCCCCGCCUGGGGAGUACGGCCGCAAGGCUAAAACUCAAAGGAAUUGACGGGGGCCCGCACAAGCGGCGGAGCAUGCUGAUUAAUUCGAUGCAACGCGAAGAACCUUACCUGGGUUUGACAUACACCAGAAGCCUGCAGAGAUGUGGGUCUCUUUGGACACUGGUGUACAGGUGGUGCAUGGCUGUCGUCAGCUCGUGUCGUGAGAUGUUGGGUUAAGUCCCGCAACGAGCGCAACCCUUGUCCUAUGUUGCCAGCACGUAAUGGUGGGGACUCAUAGGAGACUGCCGGGGUCAACUCGGAGGAAGGUGGGGAUGACGUCAAGUCAUCAUGCCCCUUAUGUCCAGGGCUUCAAGCAUGCUACAAUGGCCGGUACAAAGGGCUGCGAAGCCGUAAGGUGGAGCGAAUCCCAAAAAGCCGGUCUCAGUUCGGAUUGGGGUCUGCAACUCGACCCCAUGAAGUCGGAAAAAGAAUAGUAAUCGCAGAUCAGGCAACG
rnacentral:rRNA from 1 species